UACGUAGGGGGCAAGCGUUGUCCGGAAUCAUUGGGCGUAAAGAGCGUGUAGGCGGCCCGGUAAGUCCGCUGUGAAAGUCGGGGGCUCAACCCUCGAAUGCCGGUGGAUACUGUCGGGCUAGAGUGCGGGAGAGGCGAGUGGAAUUCCUGGUGUAGCGGUGAAAUGCGCAGAUAUCAGGAGGAACACCAAUUGCGAAGGCAGCUCGCUGGAACGUUACUGACGCUGAGACGCGAAAGCGUGGGGAGCAAACAGG
rnacentral:rRNA from 1 species